rnacentral:lncRNA from 1 species
AAAGGUCUCGAGGGCGUGGGAUCUUUCAUGCAACAGAGGUGGAUAAUCAAUACACGAGCUAUCCUGGAUGCUGCUGAUGCUAAGGAAAGAAGGAAACUCUUUGGUGUGGAGGGGAAUUUUACUCUCUACUUGUUUUUUUUUUGUGUUUUUAUGUCUACUAAUUAUUUUUCUCUUUUGCAGAUACCAUGGCAUCUACAAGGAAACUCU